rnacentral:rRNA from 1 species
GACGAACGCUGGCGGCGCGCCUAACACAUGCAAGUCGAACGAAGAGUAUUGAAUGAAGCCUUCGGGUGGAAUUUGGUAUUUCUUAGUGGCGAACGGGUGAGUAACACGUGAGUAACCUGCCUUUCAGAGGGGGACAACAUUUGGAAACGAAUGCUAAUACCGCAUAAGACCACACUACCACGUGGUAGAGAGGCCAAAGGAGAAAUCCGCUGAAAGAUGGACUCGCGUCCGAUUAGCUAGAUGGUGAGGUAACGGCCCACCAUGGCAACGAUCGGUAGCCGGACUGAGAGGUUGAUCGGCCACAUUGGGACUGAGACACGGCCCAGACUCCUACGGGAGGCAGCAGUGGGGGAUAUUGCACAAUGGACGAAAGUCUGAUGCAGCGACGCCGCGUGAGGGAAGAAGGUUUUCGGAUUGUAAACCUCUGUCUUCGGGGACGAUAAUGACGGCACCCGAGGAGGAAGCCACGGCUAACUACGUGCCAGCCGCCGCCGUAAC